rnacentral:tRNA from 1 species
UGAUUAGCUCAGCUGGUUCAGAGCAUCUGCCUUACAAGCAGAGGGUCGGCGGUUCGAAUCCGUCCCUGCCC